CCCUUAGAUGCUCUGGGCCGCACGCGCGCUACACUGACUGGUGCAACAAGUGUCGCUCCUUGGCCGAUAGGCCUGGGCAAUCUUUGAACGCCAGUCGUGAUGGGGAUAGAUUCUUGCAAUUUUUGAUCUUCAACGAGGAAUUCCUAGUAAACGCGAGUCAUCAACUCGCAUUGAUUACGUCCCUGCCCUUUGUACACACCGCCCGUCGCACCUACCGAUUGAAUGGUCCGGUGAACCCUCCGGAUCGGCUCGCGCCAACGCAAGUUGAGCAAAGGCCGAGAAGUUGGGUAAACCUUACCAUUUAGAGGAAGGUGAAGUCGUAACA
rnacentral:rRNA from 1 species